GAGUUUGAUCGUGGCUCAGGAUGAACGCUGGCGGCGUGCCUAAUACAUGCAAGUCGAGCGAACGGACGAGAAGCUUGCUUCUCUGAUGUUAGCGGCGGACGGGUGAGUAACACGUGGAUAACCUACCUAUAAGACUGGGAUAACUUCGGGAAACCGGAGCUAAUACCGGAUAAUAUUUUGAACCGCAUGGUUCAAAAGUAAAAGACGGUCUUGCUGUCACUUAUAGAUGGAUCCGCGCUGCAUUAGCUAGUUGGUAAGGUAACGGCUUACCAAGGCAACGAUGCAUAGCCGACCUGAGAGGGUGAUCGGCCACACUGGAACUGAGACACGGUCCAGACUCCUACGGGAGGCAGCAGUAGGGAAUCUUCCGCAAUGGGCGAAAGCCUGACGGAGCAACGCCGCGUGAGUGAUGAAGGUCUUCGGAUCGUAAAACUCUGUUAUUAGGGAAGGAACAUAUGUGUAAGGUAACUGUGCACAUCUUGACGGUACCUAAUCAGAAAGCCACGGCUAACUACGUG
rnacentral:rRNA from 1 species